rnacentral:rRNA from 1 species
UGGGGAAUCUUGGACAAUGGGGGAAACCCUGAUCCAGCCAUGCCGCGUGAGUGAAGAAGGCCCUAGGGUUGUAAAGCUCUUUCAGCGGGGAAGAUAAUGACGGUACCCGGUAAAGAAGCCCCGGCUAACUCCGUGCCAGCAGCCGCGGUAAUACGGAGGGGGCUAGCGUUGUUCGGAAUUACUGGGCGUAAAGCGCACGUAGGCGGACCGGAAAGUUGGGGGUGAAAUCCCGGGGCUCAACCCUGGAACUGCCUUCAAAACUGUCGGUCUUGAGUCCGAGAGAGGUGAGUGGAACUCCGAGUGUAGAGGUGAAAUUCGUAGAUAUUCGGAAGAACACCAGCGGCGAAGGCGGCUCACUGGCUCGGGACUGACGCUGAGGUGCGAAAGCGUGGGGAGCAAACAGGAUUAGAUACCCGCGUAGUCC